AGGGGAAACGAUAUUGGAAGCUUGCUUCCGAUAGGCGUCGACCGGCGCACGGGUGAGUAACGCGUAUCCAACCUGCCCGACCACUUGGGGAUAACCUUGCGAAAGUAAGACUAAUACCCAAUGAUAUCUCUAGAAGACAUCUGAAAGAGAUUAAAGAUUUAAUCGGUGAUGGAUGGGGAUGCGUCUGAUUAGCUUGUUGGCGGGGUAACGGCCCACCAAGGCAACGAUCAGUAGGGGUUCUGAGAGGAAGGUCCCCCCACAUUGGGACUGAGACACGGUCCAAACUCC
rnacentral:rRNA from 1 species